CCUACGGGUGGCAGCAGUGAGGAAUAUUGGUCAAUGGGCGAGAGCCUUAACCAGCCAAGUCGCGUGAGGGAGUACUGCCCUAUGGGUUGUAAACCUCUUUUGUCGGGGAGCAAAAGCCGGACGUGUCCGGCUGUGAGAGUACCCGAAGAAAAAGCCUCGGCUAACUCCGUGCCAGCAGCCGCGGUAAUACGGAGGAUGCGAGCGUUAUCCGGAUUUAUUGGGUUUAAAGGGUGCGCAGGCGGAUUUUUAAGUCAGCGGUAAAAUCGUGGGGCUCAACCCCAUCCAGCCGUUGAAACUGGGGAUCUAGAGUGUGCGAGAGGUAUGCGGAAUGCGUGGUGUAGCGGUGAAAUGCAUAGAUAUCACGCAGAACCCCGAUUGCGAAGGCAGCAUACCGGUGCACAACUGACGCUCAGGCACGAAAGCGUGGGUAUCGAACAGGAUUAGAUACCCUUGUAGUC
rnacentral:rRNA from 1 species